GACGAACGCUGGCGGCGUGCUUAACACAUGCAAGUCGAACGGAAAGGCCCUGCUUUUGUGGGGUGCUCGAGUGGCGAACGGGUGAGUAACACGUGAGUAACCUGCCCUUGACUUUGGGAUAACUUCAGGAAACUGGGGCUAAUACCGGAUAGGAGCUCCUGCUGCAUGGUGGGGGUUGGAAAGUUUCGGCGGUUGGGGAUGGACUCACGGCUUAUCAGCUUGUUGGUGGGGUAGUGGCUUACCAAGGCUCUGACGGGUAGCCGGCCUGAGAGGGUGACCGGCCACAUUGGGACUGAGAUACGGCCCAGACUCCUACGGGAGGCAGCAGUGGGGAAUAUUGCACAAUGGGCGGAAGCCUGAUGCAGCAACGCCGCGUGCGGGAUGACGGCCUUCGGGUUGUAAACCGCUUUCGCCUGUGACGAAGCGUGAGUGACGGUAAUGGGUAAAGAAGCACCGGCUAACUACGUG
rnacentral:rRNA from 1 species